AUUGAACGCUGGCGGCAUGCCUUACACAUGCAAGUCGAACGGCAGCACGGGAGCAAUCCUGGUGGCGAGUGGCGAACGGGUGAGUAAUAUAUCGGAACGUGCCCGGUCGUGGGGAUAACGUAGCGAAAGCUACGCUAAUACCGCAUACGAUCUACGGAUGAAAGCGGGGGAUCGCAAGACCUCGCGCGAUUGGAGCGGCCGAUAUCAGAUUAGGUAGUUGGUGAGGUAAAGGCUCACCAAGCCGACGAUCUGUAGCUGGUCUGAGAGGACGACCAGCCACACUGGGACUGAGACACGGCCCAGACUCCUACGGGAGGCAGCAGUGGGGAAUUUUGGACAAUGGGCGCAAGCCUGAUCCAGCAAUGCCGCGUGCAGGAUGAAGGCCUUCGGUUGUAAACUGCUUUUGUACGGUAACGAAACGGUAGAGCUCUAAUACAGUUUG
rnacentral:rRNA from 1 species